rnacentral:rRNA from 1 species
GACGAACCGUGCGAACGUUGUUCGGAUUCACUGGGCUUAAAGGGCGCGUAGGCGGGCGAGCGAGUCCGGGGUGAAAUCUUUCGGCUUAACCGGAAAAGGGCCUCGGAUACCGGUCGCCUGGAGGGGGGCAGGGGCAGCUGGAACUUCCGGUGGAGCGGUGAAAUGCGUUGAUAUCGGAAGGAACGCCGGUGGCGAAAGCGAGCUGCUGGGCCCCAUCUGACGCUGAGGCGCGAAAGCCAGGGGAGCGAACGGG